UGACCUCGGAUCAGACGUGAAUACCCGCUGAACUUAAGCAUAUUAAUAG
rnacentral:rRNA from 1 species